CCAUCAAGGUAAAAGGAGGGGAGAGGUAACCAAUCCUUCUCCGCGAAUCCAAGAUAGGUGAAGUACCGCUCGGCCCGAAAAAGCCAGCGCAAUGCGUUGCCGUUUCCAUUAAAUCGAUCUAAUACCUCCAUUGGAGUCCGAUGGAUGAAAGCACCAAUGUAAUAAACUCAAAUCCACAGUAACAAUAACUGAAACCUCUCUACUCUAUUAUUAAGGCUGAAAUGUGAUUACAACUCAAAUAUCAAGAUGCAACAACUUAGUAGCAGAAUUACAAUAGAAAUUGCAGGAAGUAAAGUAACUAGAGAUAGAUAGAAGAAGGGGAUGAGAAGGUUAGUCUUAGAGAAUAGGAGAGGAGGAGAAGAAGAUACUUUUCUCAACAAUAGGCAUAUCCCGUAUCUCCUUCGGAUCCCAAAUAUAAUGUCCAAGCAUUCUAUUGGGUUGUUUAAUCAUUGGCCUUUAGCUCCAUGCCCGAUAGUCCCAACUGGAUCAGCCUCGUUCCCAUAAUUCCUUACUAAGUUGGGCUGGUUCACAACAAUUCCCCUACUCAAACGACCCUAAAACUUCGUCUUCUUCAUCGAAGAACAGAAGCAGCAGCGGACUCCUUUUGACACCGCUAUCUCCGGCAAACAUAAACCAAAAAACGAGCAACGAGCACAUGUAGAACCCGUCCGAAUCGGCACCCAACAACAACCAUGAGAUUUGCUCGAAAUCGACCCCAAUAACCAGUAAAAGCAGUCGCAAAUGGCUCAUUUUCAGCCCGUUCGUGUUCGAUUUUUCGGCGCCGUCGAGGUCCUUGGUUGAGUCUUGGUCGUGAUUUCUCUGCUCGACAUUGUUUCAUUUUAGGAGGUUAGAAACAGAAUCCAAUUUUAGGUUAGUGUUGGAGUUUUUUGUGAGUUUUCCGGCGCUGUUGAGGUUCGGAAUCCCAUUUUGCAGAGUCGUCGUUUCCGUCGAGGUCGUUGACAGUCUCAUUGAGGUUUCCGUUCGAGAUUUGGUGGAGGAUUAGCCUUUGCUCCAGUUUUUCUUUUCGAUUUUUAGUUGUGUAUCAGGUAUUCUCUACCACUUUGGCAUAUGAAAUGGAAGAAGAUGAAGUUACUUGAAAUGAGUUGUCAUUUAUGUCGUAAUACUUAGUUAAAUGUGGUUGAGUAGGGAAUCUCCUAUAGUUGUUUUAAAUUCCAUGUUAACUUUUAGCCAUACACGCUGAAGAAAUAUUUGUGUGGUAAAAAAUUGAUUAAACAUCUGCUCUUUCUUGUUAAAAAUUCUAAAGUUGGUAAAAUUGUCAUGUGUUGAAAUCAGCUCAAUGAGAUGGAUAUGUGAUUCUGCUACUGUUUUUGAACAUGUUGUUGUUUCCUAUCAAAUUUUCUUCAGUUGCUUCAGUAAAACAGAAAUUCAAUUAAGAUUUGAUUUGUCUUUCUAUUCCUCAAGCUUAAUUCUAGAGAAAUUAGAUUAUUGUUCUAUUCUAAAAGGGGAAUACUGGCAGUUGCUGAAAUUGUAAACAUUACUUUCAAAUACUUCUUGUAGUGAAUUGGAUA